AGUUUGAUACCACUUCCAUAGCCAAAGAUUGCAGGAAAUGGAACACUUUGGAGGAAAGUCUCUCUCCCUCGAUGGUGAAUCAUCAUCGUUGUCUAGGAGGGACUAUGAAGUGUUCUUGAGUUUCAGAGGACCCGACACUCGCUUAACCAUCACCGACUCUCUCUAUGCAGCCAUGAUCCAGGCUGGGAUACAUGUAUUUAAAGAUGAUGAAGAGCUCCGUGUCGGCAAAGAGAUUGGAGGUGAGCUUCUAAGAGCAAUCUCCCAUUCGAAAAUCUACAUACCCAUCUUCUCUAGAGACUAUGCUUCGAGUAAAUGGUGCCUACGCGAACUUGCCUACAUGGUGGAGCGUAGGAAGAGAGACGAGAAAGCAAUCCUACCCAUCUUCUACGAGGUGGAUGCAUCCGAUGUUAAGCUUAAAACUGGAUCGUACAGUAUGGCCUUACAAAAACAUGAGAGAGAGUCUAGUGCAAAUGUGGUGAAACAGUGGGAGGAGGCCCUAAGAGAGGUCGCCGGAAUCAAGGAUGGAACUUAAAAGAUCACGGCCAAAGUAAACUUAUAGCACUUGUUGUGGAAGAAGUUUUCAAUAAGCUGACGUCUACACAGAGAAAUUGGCAUGAUGGCUUGGUGGGAACUCACGAUCAAAUGGAAGUCGUCAUGGACUUGUUAGGCCUAGGCACUUCCGGUGUUCGAUUUGUUGUGAUUCAUGGUAUGGGUGGCAUCGGGAAAACAACUCUUGCUAAGGCAAUCCUCAAGCGUAUCUCUUCUCAAUUUCAUCAUUCUAGCUUUCUUUCAGAUAUCCGUGCAGAAAAUAUUGUUGGUCUACAAAAGAAAUUAUUAUAUGACAUUCUUGAUAUUAAACAUCUUAAAGUUGAUGAUGCUAAUGAUGGGAUGGCCAUGAUUAAAGGAAAACUCUGUGACAAGAAAGUCAUCAUUGUUCUUGAUGAUAUGGACAAGAGAGAUCAGCUCAUGAAAUUAGCUGGUAAGUCUAGUUGGUUUGGUUCAGGAAGCCGAAUUAUUAUCACAACUAGGAACACCUAUUUUUUGGCUCUCGAAACCAAUCUCUUAGAUGACAAUACUGUCCCGAUGCAUCACCAAGACUUCUUUUUUUAUGAGAUGAAGGAAAUGCAGUUUGAUCAUGCUCUUCAACUUUUCAGCUUGCACUCCUUUGAAAGAGACUCACCUCCCCAUGAUUACAGUAGUAUUUCAAGUGAAAUGGUCAGAAUUACUGGAGGACUACCUUUGGCACUUGAGAUAAUAGGUUCAUUACUCCAUUCAAAAAGCAAGAUAACAUGGAAAGACACAUUGAAGAAGUUGAAGAAAGUGCCCAACCAGGAUGUCCAAAAAAGUUGUUGAUAAGUUACGAAGAAUUAGAGUACGAGCAACAACAAAUUUUUCUUGAUAUCGCAUGUCAUUGCAUUGGUGAAGAAAGAAUCCCUGCAUAUUACAUGUGGAAAGCUUGUGAUUUUUUUCCAAAAACUGGACUUCAUGUCCUUAUUCAUUCAUCUUUGAUAAAACUCAUCGAGGAUGAUAGACUAUGGAUGCACGACCAACUCAGAGAUCUUGGAAGAGAGAUAGUCCGACAAGAAUGCCUUCUAGUUUCUGGAAAGCGCAGCAGGUUGUGGUGUUCGAAGGUUGCCUUAGAUGUCAUUCAAAAUAAUCCGGUAUGUCUUACUAAAAGUUAUAAAAAAUUGAACAUGCAAUUGCUAGUUUUAGAGUUCAGUUUCACCCAAAAUAUUUGCUUCAUUUGUAUACACAGGAUAUUAAUGAUUUUGCAUAAUUUGAGAGAAAUGAAUGAAUUUCCAAAAUAGAUAAUUAUUGCCAUUACAGCUCCCAUGUAAGUUGGAGAGAUAACAAUUCAUGGUAUCCGCCCUAUUUUAGAUAGGCUAAGAUCUAUAUGCCCUUUUUUUGUCAAUUGACUUGUGCUUACUAUUGGUGGAAUCAAGACAUAUGCUCCCUAUUUUGAUAUUUAAUAUUUACACUAAAUCGUUCACUCAUAUUGCUAUUUAUUGCCUUGAGUUAUCAGGGAACAAACAACAUUGUAGCACUUAAGCUCACAGAACUUGCAAAUGUGCACAAUUUUUCAAGUGGCGAACUCUCAAGGCUGCCUAGUUUAAGGUUCCUUGAAUUAGAUGGAGGAAACUUUAUAGGGGACUUUGAAAAUCUUCUCUCAAAUUUAACAUGGCUCUCUUGGCAUCAUUGCCCUCAAACCUACAAGCCAACGGUUUAUGUCUAAGGAACUUGGCCGUUCUCAAGAUUUCAGAGAGCAAUAUUACUGAAAAUUGGAAUGGAUGGGGACCGUGCAUGGUGAAUGAUAACCUAAAAGUCAUUUAUCUGACAAGCUGCAAUUGCUUAAAAAGGACACCUAACUUCUCCAAGUGCAUGAAAUUGAAAAGAUUGGUCCUCAAAGAUUGUAGCAUGUUGGAAGAAAUCGAUAGUUCUAUCGAUCAAUCGGGGCGCCUCAAGUACAUGGAAAUCAGUAAAGAGGUUCGUGUGACAUAGUGCGGAGUGUGGUUUUGCUGGUUUGGAUGAUUUUGCUGUUCCUCUAAUACCAAACUCAAUUGGCGGUCUGAAAUCUUUGUCGAUGCUUAAGUUGGUAAAUCAAGAUGAUGUUAAAGAACUUCCACACUCAAUUGGGGAGCUGCUUGAUUUAAAGUAUCUAUCUCUACAUAGUUGCACCAAUCUUAGUAAGCUUCCGGAUUCCAUUGGAGAGUUAAGAUCACUCCUUUGUUUGGACUUAUCUUGCACUUGGAUAUGUGACUUACCAGAUUCCAUUGGAAGACUAGAAUCACUGCUGAAAAUGGAUCUAUCUCAAACACUUAUUACAGAGUUACCUGAUUCUAUCGGCAAUCUUAGACAAUUGAAGUUCUUGUAUUUGAGUGGGACUAGGAUAAGAAAGCUAUCAAAGAACAUACGGACUUUGAAGAAUCUUGAGGAGUUGAUUGCUAGAGCUUGUGAGAAUCUCGAGGGUGAAAUUCCAAGUGAAAUUGUGGAACUAUCCAGAUUGAAGAUUCUAGACUUGUCUCGGAGCAAGGUUAGUAGAGUGCCAAUAACAAUCAAUCAGCUCUCUAAUCUCCGGAAACUUGUUUUAUUGAAUUGUAAUGGGCUUCAAUCGCUACCAAAUCUCCCAACAAGUUUAACAGAGCUAGAGUUAUCCUCUUCAUCGUUGGAGACAAUACCCAACCUUUCAAACCUUACUAUUUUACAUCAUCUGGACAUAAGUGACUACACUUUUGACUUUAAGUUCUUCAAAACUACACAAGGACGGGUUUCAAAUCCAAAGCUAGGGUGGCUUGGAAGGCUCCAUAAAUUGCAAAAGUUGAGACUAGUUCUUUCCGAUUGCAACUUGCCUCCGACUGACUUGAGUUCCCUUUCUCAACUCCGGUCACUUGAAAUAACUUGUCCAAACCCAUGGUCUCUGACAUGACUUCCAUCCAGUUUAGAAGACUUGAGUCUAGAAGAUGUCAAGACACCAAUAGAGUGGCCAUUGUUCUCCAACUUGGGAAAUUUGUCUGAAUUAAAGCUCUUUGGUUGCCUAUUAAGAGAGAUUGAGUUUGAUAAUGUGCUUGGACAGCUAGAGAAUCUCCAGCAUUUGCAAGUGCGCAAGUGUGAGUCGCUUGUGAGGCUUAAUCUAUCAAGCUUGAAGGAGCUUCGUGUGCUAAGCGUGGAGUACUGCCCCCAACUAACUGAGAUUGACUUCCAACCAGCUUCACUACGGUCUUUGAGAGUCUACUUUUGUAAAUCAGUGCAAAAGUUGCCUGAUAUAUCAAAUAAAUGUCAUGUCUCUGUUA